rnacentral:lncRNA from 1 species
UUGACAGUUUGGCUUCCCUGUUCUGGGUGGCAAAGCCUGUGGAGUACUCACCUACCUGCUGCAUGAAGGCAGCAUGGAGGGACUGUGGUGGAUUAUCUGCAAAGAUGGCCAAAAUUCUCUCAUCCCUGCAGGCACAUACAAGAGAAGAACUGAAGCUCAGCUAUUCACCCUACAGAAAGCCUGAAUUUUGUAAAAGUUCUGCUUAGAAUGAGGAAGAAAGAUGAAGAAUGAGGAGGAAGAAGGGAGGAACAAGAGAGAGAGGUAAAGACAACAAACAGAACAGACCUACAUUUGCAGCAUCUCCAAGUUUCUGCAACAGCAUUAUGUUGUUGUUAUGUUUUGUUUUAAUAAAAGCACAUACCAUUUUUUUUGUUACUCUUA